UGCGUAGGCUGGACAAUUAGUCAGUGGUGAAAUCCUGCGGCUUAACCGUAGAACCGCCAUUGAUACUGUUGUCCUUGAGUAUAGUUGAGGUGGGCGGAAUGUGUAAUGUAGCGGUGAAAUGCAUAGAGAUUACACAGAACACCAAUUGCGAAGGCAGCUCACUAAGCUAUAACUGACGCUGAGGCACGAAAGCGUGGGGAGCGAACAGGAUUAGAUACCCUGGUAGUCC
rnacentral:rRNA from 1 species